rnacentral:lncRNA from 1 species
UAAUACAUUAGAGGUGAAUGGCACUUACGUGCCUGAAACUGCUUGAGCGACAGAAAACAAGGGGCAAAUCAUCUUAUCCUAGAUGAGAUGACUUACCUUAUGGAAGUGCUUCAUGGAGAUCCACUCUCUCAAGGGAGCCUUGGAAAGAGGUAAUUUUAUGACAUUUUAUCCUCAGACAUGACCUUAGAAGUGGAAACACGGUCCAAUCACUGUGAAAGAACUUUGACUUCAUCAGGAUAUGAAAAUGCAGCCAUGAAUUGUUCAAACUGUUGAGUGAUGAUAAAACUUCAGGCAUUAAGAUGGAUCUGCCAAAA